GUCAGAGGCGAUGAAAGAGGUGAUAGCAUGCGAAAAGCUUCGGGGAGGCGGCAAAUAUCUUUUGAUCGGGAGAUGUCUGAAUGGGGGAACCCACCUACUUUAAGGUAGGUAUUGCAACAUGAAUACAUAGUGUUGCAAGGCGAACGAGGGGAAGUGAAACAUCUCAGUACCCUUAGGAAAAGAAAUCAAUUGAGAUUCUCUCAGUAGCGGCGAGCGAACGGGGCUCAGCCCGUUAAGUUUUGUGUGUUUUAGUGGAAUGCUCUGGGA
rnacentral:rRNA from 1 species